CUGUUUGGACAGCUGGCUUCUGGGCUGAUUUCAUUGACCCCUCAUCAGGAUCAGCUUUCUUCGGGUCUCACUCCAACCACCCACUACUCAGAGAGGAGGAGUGGAACCGUCUGGGUUUCCAUAUCGAGGCCUCUGGUUCCUGCACAGUUAUCCGUCACGUCCUGAGGGGAACACCUACGUUUGUUGGAACUGUUUUCACCACUGCACCUGCUAACAGUGACGUCAUUGAAAGACUUCAAGGCCAGUCAAGUGCAUUUGAAGACGGGGACUAGUUUUUAUAUUUUGUUAUCACCAUGUGAGAAUGAUGUAUCUCACUAUCCAGAAGACUGUUUGUGCCCUGACCUCUGUUUGUUCACUCUGGAUUGUUCUGGAGGAAAACGGUUGCCCAUUAUGCCGUUGUCUUCACCACACCAGCACGGAGAGGAAGUUCUAAUGGGUUGUUGUCUUCAGACGCAUGCCUAACGAUGUUAACCUGGUCCCAGAUCUGUUUGUGUUGUUCUGUUAGUGCUGUCUUGCCAAAGAUGGUAAGAGGACACAAACAGAUCUGGGACCAGGCUAUAUAACUAUGUACUUGGAAGUAGACAGGUAGGUUGCGUACAGUAGUGCUGCGAUCUUUCUUUGACUCUGAUGAUAUCAUAAAGAAUUGACUGAGGAAGAUCCCUUUGACACCCAAUAAACCACCUAGCUACCUUUGA